rnacentral:lncRNA from 1 species
AGGGAACACAAAGACAAACAGAAGCCAUAACAGAGCACCCCACUGCACAGGCCAGCUCCCCCACCUCUUGACUGUCUGUCCUGAGCUCUGUAGGGAGCAGAGGGACAGUGGCCAGAGCACUGGCUGGAAGCAUCAGGUUGGUGAGACACACUUUUCCUCUGAAGUAGGGCUCCGAGCCCACAGGCUGCUGUGGAGAUGAUAGUUCAUGCUGGAGACACGGUACCCAUGGCGACACUUUGUGUCACAAGAGCAGCAGCACUGCGACUGUUACUUCACUAAAUUAGUGAGCAAGAGAAAUUCAGAGGGGUCAAGUGACAUGCCGGGCUCACCCGAGAGUGGGCAGAACAUGGGAUCUAAGAUCCAAGACUUCAAGUAUCUUGCUUUAAAAAAGAUCCUAAAAAGUCUACAGGUCAACUCAAGAUUCUGCUGCCUUUUAAACCCACAGAAUUCAUGA